GGAGAGAUGGCCGAGUGGUUUAAGGCAGCGGUCUUGAAAACCGCCGUGGUAGCAAUACCACCGUGGGUUCGAAUCCCACUCUCUCCGCCA
rnacentral:tRNA from 2 species